rnacentral:rRNA from 1 species
CAUCUUUAGUUGCCAGCAGUUAAGCUGGGCACUCUAGAGAAACUGCCCGUGAUAAGCGGGAGGAAGGUGUGGAUGACGUCAAGUCCUCAUGGCCCUUACGGGUUGGGCUACACACGUGCUACAAUGGCAGAGACAAUGGGUUAAUCCCAAAAAGCUGUCUCAGUUCGGAUUGGGGUCUGCAACUCGACCCCAUGAAGUCGGAAUCGCUAGUAAUCGCGUAACAGCAUGACGCGGUGAAUACAUUC